rnacentral:rRNA from 1 species
GACGGAGGGGGCUAGCGUUGUUCGGAAUUACUGGGCGUAAAGCGCGCGUAGGCGGCCGGUCAAGUUAGGCGUGAAAGGCCUGGGCUCAACCUGGGAACGGCGCUUAAGACUGAUCGGCUGGAGUCCGGGAGAGGGUGGUGGAAUUCCCAGUGUAGAGGUGAAAUUCGUAGAUAUUGGGAAGAACACCAGUGGCGAAGGCGACUCACUGGACAUGUAUUGACGCUGAGGUACGAAAGCGUGGGGAGCAAACAGG